rnacentral:rRNA from 1 species
UUUUUUAUAAAAGUAAUUUAUUUAUUUUAGGUUUAAGUAUUUAUUAAAAAUUAAUUUAUAGAUUUAUAGUUUAAUAGUAUUGUAAAAGAAAUCAUUAAAUUUAAAAAAGAAUUAUUUAGUACCUUUUGUAUCAGGGUUGAUUAAAAUUUUUAAUAUUUUUUUUAAUUUCUCAAAAUUUAUAGAGUUAAUUUUAUUAUUAAGUUAUUGUGUUAUAAAUAUUUAUAAAAUAAUAUUAGUUUAGAAAUUUAAUUCGUUAUAUUAUAUUUAGUUAUUUAAGAUUUAAAUUUAAUUUAAAAUUUUAAAAGUUAAAUUAAUUUUUUUAAUUUAUAUUUUAAAUUUAAAUUAUUUUAGGGAUAAGCUUGAAAUUUUUAUAUAAUAAAAUAUUUAUUUAAAUAAUUUAUAGGAAUAGAAAUUUUUAUUAAAAGUUUGUAAAAAUUUAUUAUUUAUUUAAUUUUAAUUUAUUAUAUUUUGUUUAUUUUUUUUAUUAAAUUUUAUUAAUUAAUAUUUGAUUAAUAGUAAUAAUGAUUAAAUUAGUAUAAUUUAUAUUUAUAAAUUAUGAAUUCGGCAAAAAUUAUUUUCAUCUGUUUAACAAAAACAUUGUAUUAAGUUUAAUUUAAUAUAGGAUCUGCUCAAUGAUUUAUUAAAUAGCUGCAGUAUUUUGACUGUGCAAAGGUAGCAUAAUAAUUAGUCUUUUAAUUGAGGACUUGAAUGAAAGAUUUGAUGAAAAAUAAACUUUAUUAUUUAUAUAAUUAAAAUUUUAUUUUUAAGUAAAAAAGCUUAAAUUAUUUAAAGGGACGAUAAGACCCUAUAAAACUUUAUAAAUUUUAUUUUUAAUUUUUUUGGAUUUAAAUUUAUAUACAUAUUAUUGUUAAAAUUUAUUUUAUUGGGGUGAUAAAAAAAAAUAAUUAACUUUUUUUAAAAUUUAACAUUAUUUAAUGAAUAUUUGAAUUAAAAUUUUUAAUUAGAGGAAAAAGUUACUUUAGGGAUAACAGCGUAAUUAAUUUUUUAAGUUCAAAUUUGAAAAUUAGUUUGCGACCUCGAUGCUGAAUUAAGAUUAAUUUUAGGUGCAAAAUUUUAAGUCUUAGGUUUGUUCGACCCUUCAA